AGCUCCAAUAGCGUAUAUUAAAGUUGUUGCAGUUAAAAAGCUCGUAGUUGGAUUUCUUGUAUAUGAAGCGGGUCGGCUCAAAGAGUCUGUACUAGCUUUCAUAUACAAUCCUCGUAACAAGCUAUUGAAUGAUUAAAUUCUUUCGGUAGUAAGUUGCGUCAUUUACUGUGAACAAAUUAGAGUGUUUAAAGCAGGCAAAUGCUGUGAAUACAUUAGCAUGGAAUAAUAAGAUAGGACCUAGAGUCUAUUUUGUUGGUUGCGAUUUUAGGUAAUGAUUAAUAGGGAUAGUUGGGGGUAUUCAUAUUCAAUUGUCAGAGGUGAAAUUCUUGGAUUUAUGGAAGAUGAACAACUGCGAAAGCAUUUACCAAGGAUGUUUUCA
rnacentral:rRNA from 1 species